CAUAGAUGAUGUACGAACCAUAUGCCAUCACCAAAUCUAUCUGUCCUUUCUGGAGCCAGGAGUACUUUGUUGCAGAUGCUAGCCUCGACCCAAUGGCCCGAGCUGAGCACGCGACAAACUCCGACCCACUAGCCCGAGCCGAGGACGUGACAAAUGGCCACACAUCUCUAGGGUUAACCCCAUAGGACAUGUAAAGCCGGCCUUUUUAUUCAUACACAUUCAUGUCAUUCCAAACUCAGGUUGUGGCAGAGACAAAUAAUCUACCAAUUACUAAUACACACCAAUCAAAUAUUCUCUAAACCCCAAGUUCCUUACUACUCAAUCUUAAGCCCUGUCUACUCAGACGCAAGCGAAAAGGAACUAACAGCCGGAGAAGAAAAGUAGGAUUUUUUUAUGGAAAUUAAUAAAUAAGGAAAAAUGGAAGAAAAUGAAGAAAUUAAAGGAAGAAGAAGAAGAAAAUGAGGAGGAAAAGAGAGAAGAGAAGGGAGAGAAGAGAGGGAAGAGGAGAGAGGAAGGUCCGACGGUGCACGGCCUGCGGUGGCGCGGCUUAUGGCGUGGUGGCGCGGCUGGCGGCAACGUGAACUCGGUGAUUCGGCCGGUACACAGAGGAAACAGAGAGGGAGAAGGAAAGGGGCAGGGCCCCCAGCUGCCCUGGGUGGCAGCCCUCUUGGCCAAAGCGAGCGGCGAGGGGGGG
rnacentral:lncRNA from 1 species